rnacentral:rRNA from 1 species
AGUGAACGCUGGCGGUAGGCCCAACACAUGCAAGUCGAACGGCAGCACAGUAAGAGCUUGCUCUUACGGGUGGCGAGUGGCGGACGGGUGAGGAAUACAUCGGAAUCUACUUUUUCGUGGGGGAUAACGUAGGGAAACUUACGCUAAUACCGCAUACGACCUACGGGUGAAAGCAGGGGAUCUUCGGACCUUGCGCGAUUGAAUGAGCCGAUGUCGGAUUAGCUAGUUGGCGGGGUAAAGGCCCACCAAGGCGACGAUCCGUAGCUGGUCUGAGAGGAUGAUCAGCCACACUGGAACUGAGACACGGUCCAGACUCCUACGGGAGGCAGCAGUGGGGAAUAUUGGACAAAGGGCGCAAGCCUGAUCCAGCCCUACCGCGUGGGUGAAGAAGGCCUUCGGGUUGUAAAGCCCUUUUGUUGGGAAAGAAAAGCAGCAGGUUAAUACCCCGCUGUUCUGACGGUACCCAAAGAAUAAGCACCCGCUAACUUCGUG